rnacentral:rRNA from 1 species
UGGGAAUAACCUUCCGAAAGGAGGGCUAAUACCGAAUGAGACCACAGUGACUUCGGUCACAGAGGUUAAAGAUGGCCUCUACUUGUAAGCUAUCGCUUGGAGAUGGGCUUAUGCACCAUUAGCUUGUUGGUGAGGUAACGGCUCACCAAAGCUGUGAUGGUUAGCUGAUCUGAGAGGUUGAUCAGCCACACUGGAACUGAGACACGGUCCAG